rnacentral:piRNA from 1 species
GUUCUUCCGGUCGAGGCCUCCUC